AUAAACUCAGGAUUAAGGGCUGGACUCGGUGGAGAACAGGGGUAGAAGAUAGCUCUGCAGUUACAGUGAGUCAUUUUCUGCCUGAUUCCCCACUGUCGGAUGAGAAGUUUAGAAACUUGGAGGUACCAAAAGGCAGAGGUUCUACAUAUGGAAAAGAUGGCCUAAUGUGGUGAGAAGGUCUGAGUUCUGUGUUCCGGUCUCAUGUCAGGAUGCUUUGUCACUGAUGAUGUGGACUUAGCAUUACACAGGGAAUACAGGUGGCUCAUAGCUCAGAUUUGAUCCACGGCUCCAGGAAAAUGAAAGGGAGAGGAAACUAAUACCGAGGCACUGGAAGCCCAAAGGAGGAACAUCAAAUACUACAUCCCACAGAUUUUCAUGGCAGAAGGUAAGAACAGUCUUUGGUGGGACCAAAUGAUCCCAUUUCCUUAUUCCAUAAUUAGCAUCCUUCACGAGCCUGAAACAUUUAAUAAUCCUAGUUAAAAUCCAACUGAGCUCGUAGCAUUUUGUGAUUUUUGCCUGAGUCUGUUUAACAAAGUGUUACAACUUCAGGAAGGGCUAUGAGUAAUACCUAUGAGUAAUUACUGUGAGUAAUACCUAUAUUAGAGCGUAAAAGAUAUAAGAUCUAAAGUUGUCAAUGCUAUAAAAAUACAAAAUACCCAGUGAUGCGUAAAGCAGAUUGCACUGCUCUGCCACUUGCUAUAAUUGCCUUUCAUAAGCUCUCUUUCUCAUCAGUUGGAGCUGUGGUUAUCGUUUCUGGAUACUACUACUCUAAGUUUUUUUCUCUCUUUUUUUAAAUUUAUUUUUUUAAGUUUUUAUUUAUUUUGAGAGAGAGCGCGCAAGUGGGAAGGGGCAGAGAGAGAGAGAGAGAGAGAGAGGGAGAAGGAAUCCCAAGCAGGGUCUGUGCUGUCAGCACAGAGCCUGACGCGGGGCUAGAACUCACAAACUGUGAGAUCGUGACCUGAUCUGAAAUCAAGAGUAGGUGGGUAUAACCAACUGAGCCAUCCAGGCUCCCCCUCUUGUUUUUUUUAUUUUUUUUAGAAUAAUGCAAAAGAGCUCUUUGGCAUGGCUCCAAGUCUCUACAUCCUUAGAAUAGGCAAUUCUAUGAAGACAGAAAGUAGAUUAAUUGUUCCUUGGGGCUGGGAGGCUUGGGGGUGGGAGAAAGGGCAGUGACUGCUAAUGAGUACAGAGCGUCUUUUUAAGGUGGCACCUGUCACCAGGAGGUGUCACCCAGAGGAACUGCGACAUCCCACAGAUGAUUUUGCAGCCUCUCACUUUGUGAGGCAAGAUCUUUUUGGGCCAUUCCCUCCAAACCCUACCCCCUCCUCUACCUCUGUGGCCUCAGAGCUGAGGUAGACCAGAGGGGGAAGAGGGAGGCAUUAAGAGCAGAUGGGAGCUCUGCCAUGAUGCUAGAUGCUAGAGCUGGGGAGAAGGGAAAACUUGAGAUCUGAGCUUAAGUGGGAGAAAGAUUCCUACAAUGACAAACGAGAUCUGCUUGUUUAGCAGCAGGCUGUUAUUUGGAUAGCUUUAUCCACUAUUCAGGUCACGACAGCCUAUAAAGUAUUUCUAUCACGAUAUAGUAAGGGAACUGAGAAACAGAGAUUUCAUCUACUUUCCCUAGGUUGCACAAUUUCGAGUGGCAGGCAGGGGGGCUCUGGAGGACAGGAUGAAGUCAGUACAGGAUAAGACUUUUUGUGUGUUGAGGAGUGAAGAAAGAUUAGCGAGUGUUGUUGAAAUGGUUGAAAAGGGGAAAAAAACCAUUUAAUGAUCGUACCCCCGCAAAUUCAGACUGAUCUGGGGUGGAAAUACACAAAUAGGAAUAAACAAUACAUAUGUUUACAAUAUGAAAAUAUAUGCAUAGAACUUAAGGCUGUUUAUCAAAUAUUAAUAGCAAUUGUCACUGGGAGGUGGAAUUAUGAGUGACUCUUAAUGUUCUUCUUUGUAUUUUUAAGUGAUUUCCCCAAAUUUCUACUAUGAAUAAAUACACUUUUAUAUGUUAAUUAGAAAAAACGCAGGAAAAAUUAUAUAAAUAGCCACCACUUAAAUCUAGAUCCAAAAUGCACGAUUUACCCCUUAAUUGUUUCUGUUUGCGAUAUAAAUGAGAGAAUUAAAUGGAAGUUACUGCACUCUUGGGAAUUUUGUUUACAAUUCGUAGAGUGGAUAGCAAGAAAGGCAGAGAAAGAAAUGAGAGCUGUCAGUAUAUUCUAUGAGAAGAGAGCCAUGUUUGUCCCGUUCACCAUUGUGUCCUCCGGGAGUUAACCCGCUGACCAGUGCAAAUGACCUGCCAGGAAACCGCAUGGCCUUUGUAUGUCUACAGCCUUGGUGGCUCAGUUGUAAUGGUGAACUGCCGUGCCUAGUACACAUGCUGGCACACGGUGGAAGCAGCAGGAAUGCCUGGGGGACCCACUAGGUGCUCAGCCGAGAUGGAGUUAACUUAGAGAAGAAAUAACAAUGUAGAAAAGAUCUAUAGUCACCAAAUACACAACAGGCCCCGGGGUCUUCAUAAACCCUUGAGGAGGGCACAUGUUUCAGGGAGCUAAGGCCCUGCAAGAAAUGCUGGGGGCAAAAUGCAGUGACUUGAAAGCUAUUACCAUUAAACUUUAUCCCAUCUGUAUACAACAAAAUGGGGGCAAGGCAGGAAAGUGCACUGCCUUUGAAACCAUCUAGUGUUUGACUCUGCAUUUUGUGACUUAGUGUAGACCAACCACCAAACGAGAAUGGAAUAUUUCAAUAGGAUGACCUA